GGAAGGGAGGUGCAUCCAGGUGAUAGUAGAGCCACUUCAAACUGCAGCUAGAAAAAACAUCCUCGCUGCUGUUGAAGUGACGUGUGUGCCCACAGCCUGGCAUGCAACUGGAGUGAGCUCUGCGCCUCCCAGGUGUGCCUUGGCUGCCACCUGCUGCAAAGCCAGCCCAUUGCACUUCCUCCUCUUCCUCUUCUCCGUCAGGAGGAACAGAGGCCUUUGCUUCGCUCCACAGCACUGUCACCUGAGGAGGCAGGGGCAGGAGGCGGCCUUCCCAGAAGACAAGUGCUCUGCACUCUGCAGCCUUGUGGGCUUCUGUGUCUCAAUUAAAUCCCAAGCGAAGACCUCAUGACGGAACUCCUCCCAAGGGCUUGUUCAGAUUAGGAAGUGUGAGGCAGCCAGGAAAGCUGCAGACUGCUGGGGAAAACGUUUACUGGAAAGAGAACACACACCCCUUGGCCACCUCACAGUGAGAAUCUCCUGAAGUUCCAAAGAAAUUCUUGACUGCCCCAAAAAUGAGGCAGAGAAAUGGAAGUUUCUUGUGCAGAGGAAGAAAACAUUCGAGAAACUGGGGGACAGAUGUUCAUACAGUGCCAGAGAAAGUGCCCCCUUUUUACGCCAAGCAGCAUUCCAGGCCCAAGAUGGAUUGGCACAUCUGAGCUGCUUCAAGGGUUCAAUGCACGACUCCAGGCACCUGUGCAUGGGCAUGUGGGGUGUGUCCAUCCCACACAAUUGUGACUCCUCCACCCUCUGCCAUCAGCACACCAUGUUUGGAUCAACACAAGGGCUCCUCAAAGAGGUGGAUUGUGCAUAGCAGUAUCUGCAGUGUGGCAGCAUUGGAACCCCUCUUCAAAGGCCUGACCAGCAUUGGGCUGCCCCCAAUCUCUCCAUGGUUCGCAGACUUUUAAUGGUACAUUUCUCUCUCCUGGCCACAGUUAUAACUGACACACUGGCAUAUGUCCAUCGUUGCCUCCUCUUUUGGUACCUGCUGCUAUUUCUAGUGUGUGUGUUUGUAAGCCUGCUUGACAAUAAAAAGAUGAGGAUGAGGGGAGGACAUCCCCCCUCCCCAGAUCAUC